UACGUAGGGUGCGAGCGUUGUCCGGAUUCAUUGGGCGUAAAGAGCGUGUAGGCGGCCAGGUAGGUCUGCUGUGAAAACUCGAGGCUUAACCUCGAGCUGUCGGCGGAAACCAUCUGGCUAGAGUCCGGAAGAGGAGAAUGGAAUUCCCGGUGUAGCGGUGAAAUGCGCAGAUAUCGGGAAGAACACCCGUGGCGAAGGCGGUUCUCUGGGACGGUACUGACGCUGAGACGCGAAAGCGUGGGGAGCGAACAGG
rnacentral:rRNA from 1 species